GAAAAUUGGUGGAUUUCAAGUAAUCAAGCCAUCAAAGGUGGUGAAUCCUCCGAAAAAGGCCAAAGAAAUUGCACCCGAUGAUCAAUAGUCGGAGUACUCCAAAAUUUAAACUCCUGAUACUGCUCAGGAUAGUCGGUAGAUAGCUCAUUUCGUUGAGGGCU
rnacentral:sRNA from 1 species